CCGGAGUCGGGGACGAAGUCUGGCUCCCAUAGGAGUCCGGGCGAAGUCUUCCUGCAGUCGGAGUCGGGGAUGAAGUUCGGCUCCCAUAGGAGUCCGGAUGAAGUCUACCUGCAAUUGAAGUCGGGGACGAAGUUUGGCUCCCUUAGGAGUCCGGGCGAAGUCUACCUGCAAUUGAAGUCGGAGAUGAAGUCCGGCUCUCUUAGGAGUC
rnacentral:lncRNA from 1 species